CCUGAUGCAGCCAUGCCGCGUGUAUGAAGAAGGCCUUCGGGUUGUAAAGUACUUUCAGUUGUGAGGAAGGGGGUGUCGUUAAUAGCGGCAUCUCUUGACGUUAGCAACAGAAGAAGCACCGGCUAACUCCGUGCCAGCAGCCGCGGUAAUACGGAGGGUGCGAGCGUUAAUCGGAAUUACUGGGCGUAAAGCGCAUGCAGGUGGUUCAUUAAGUCAGAUGUGAAAGCCCGGGGCUCAACCUCGGAACUGCAUUUGAAACUGGUGAACUAGAGUACUGUAGAGGGGGGUAGAAUUUCAGGUGUAGCGGUGAAAUGCGUAGAGAUCUGAAGGAAUACCAGUGGCGAAGGCGGCCCCCUGGACAGAUACUGACACUCAGAUGCGAAAGCGUGGGGAGCAAACAGGAUUAGAUACCCUGGUAGUCCACGCCGUAAACGAUGUCUACUUGGAGGUUGUGGCCUUGAGCCGUGGCUUUCGGAGCUAACGCGUUAAGUAGACCGCCUGGGGAGUACGGUCGCAAGAUUAAAACUCAAAUGAAUUGACGGGGGCCCGCACAAGCGGUGGAGCAUGUGGUUUAAUUCGAUGCAACGCGAAGAACCUUACCUACUCUUGACAUCCAGAGAAGCCAGCGGAGACGCAGGUGUGCCUUCGGGAGCUCUGAGACAGGUGCUGCAUGGCUGUCGUCAGCUCGUGUUGUGAAAUGUUGGGUUAAGUCCCGCAACGAGCGCAACCCUUAUCCUUGUUUGCCAGCGAGUAAUGUCGGGAACUCCAGGGAGACUGCCGGUGAUAAACCGGAGGAAGGUGGGGACGACGUCAAGUCAUCAUGGCCCUUACGAGUAGGGCUACACACGUGCUACAAUGGCGCAUACAGAGGGCAGCGAACUUGCGAGAGUGAGCGAAUCCCAAAAAGUGCGUCGUAGUCCGGAUUGGAGUCUGCAACUCGACUCCAUGAAGUCGGAAUCGCUAGUAAUCGUAGAUCAGAAUGCUACGGUGAAUACGUUCCCGGGCCUUGUACACACCGCCCGUCACACCAUGGGAGUGGGCUGCAAAAGAAGUGGGUAGUUUAACCUUCGGGAGGACGCUCAC
rnacentral:rRNA from 1 species